CAAGGCUGGGCUGGAUGCGGGCUUCAUUAGGGAGGAGGACUACAUGCAGGCACGCGACUCCUUCCUC
rnacentral:rRNA from 1 species